UAAGCGUAAUGUGUCGGACGC
ensembl:piRNA 21ur-6937 ncRNA